CAGUGUCUCUAGGCUUUGCUCGAACGAAGGGAUACGUAGUCGUGGCAUCUUUGUUUUGGCCUUUUCAGUUUUUGAUCAAGCCGUUAUCCCUUGAUGUGGCUCCCACUGGCUAACUAUACCCAGCUGAGCUCGUUCCAAGUUUAGCAUUCCGCUAAUUGGCCCAUGGCGUGUCGCUAUAUACUUACUAAAGUACUCGUAUAAGGCCUUACGAUACGCAGUACGCUAUUCUUUAUAUCUGCUGCGAGUGUAUGCCAAUACAUUCACGCCGCACUAAACUUAACCGAUCAUUAAAGGUCGCUGCAUACACUAACGGAACAAGACAAGUUAUGGAAAUAUCGUUACAUAUAAAAUACAUAAUCACGGGCUAUGGCUACGUGGCACGCAAGGAGCGAAUAUCGUUAACGUCUUCUGGCACAUCCAGAGUACUUUUUAUACAUCCCAUACCACACACGCCUCAACUCGUACGUAUUUCGUUGCGUGUAAGUAGUGCUAGUGACGUACGUAUUGGGCUAAACAAAAUGGACGACGAAAACGCCGGUACGUAAGUAUACAAACUCCCAUCGUCUCAUCCGUAUUUAUUUAAUACCCAUAUUGCGUUACUGCACCGUCCACGUCCAGACCAUUAUCCAGCAGUGUUGAUGCUUAGACCAGGGUACCUACUAUCAACUAUUAUAGCGACUCAAUUAAAGACCUAAACUGAACUGCUUUGCUUUUUCCUACCAUGAAGUCCUAUAACCGACCAAUUGACGCUGUCACGCAAUAAAAACCUAAAUUGAUCCGCUAACGGCAUCCAUUCAGUCUGUUUUUCGUACUGUGAACUUCUAAUGUAACCUAAACUGAAUCGUUAUACUGUCAAAGUGAGCCGACCAAAUAAAGUUACUUUUAUUGUGGCUUGAACUGAAUCGCUUUCACGUAAUUUAUAUUAUUUAAUUGAAUAUAAAUUAGUUAGUAGCAAGUACUUUGCUUAGAAAUACUUUUUUGAACAGUGUUAUAAUGUCUGAUGAACUAAUAAUCUUUGAAUUUCUGGAAUACGACAAUGAAAUAAACACUGAGCGUAAACAAAGAAGACGCUUCAUACGGGAACAAUCGGAUCCUUUCAGUUUGGAGGAUACGGAAUUUAUUAAACGGUAUCGUCUUUCUAAGGAAUUGGUGAUAAAUCUAUGUGCCGAAUUACAGCCAAUGAUUAAAAAACCGACAAAAUCGACAGAUUUGUCGAUAAAAACAAAGGUUUUGACUGCAUUGUCUUUUUACGCAACAGGGUCAUAUCAAAGGCCAAUAGGAGACAUUACCGCUCAUUCAAUGGCACAGCAAACAGUUUCUGCAGUCAUAGCUGAGGUUACUAGGUGCAUUGAUACCCCUGCGAUGAGAAGGAAAUACAUUUCUUUCCCUAAUUCCUUAGAAGAGAGAAAUAAAGUUAGAACAAGAUUUGUGAUGCUGAUAUGAAUAUAACAAGUGUUGACGCUAGUUAUGGUGGUGCCACCCAUGAUUCAUUUAUUUGGAAUGUUCAUCCUUUAAAAUUAUUCUUAGAAAAUCUUGUUGAAACAACAUGGUUACUGGCUGAUUCAGGUUACCCAUUGAGGAAAUACAUGAUGACACCCAUUGUCAAUGCUCUUCCUGACACACCAGAGAAACAUUACACAGAUUUACAAAUAAGAACCAGGAAUGUAAUUGAAAGGACAAUUGGACUAUUAAAAGCUCGUUUUCGAUGUCUUUUAGUGCAUAGAGUAUUGCAUUAUCAACCAAGAGUUGCAGCUUCCAUAGUGAAUACUUGUGUAAUUUUACAUAAUAUUUGCAACAAAGCAAAUAUGCCUGUUUCUAUGCUGAGCAACGAAGAUGUGCUGCAAGAGGCCCAAAUGCAGUUAAGUUCAACUAACAAUGAACACACUGUUAACAAUAACCAAGGUCUACAGUUCGGUGUUAACUGCAGAAAUAACCUUAUACUUCAUCUCUGGGACGCUCGACAUACCUAAAACAAUAAGUUUAUAUUUAAUAUAAAAUAAUUGUAACAUAACUUUAAGAUUUUGUAAAGUGGUCAUGUUGAUAACAUUGUAUUCAGAAAUAAUAAUAUAUGUGAUGCGCGUAUUGUGAGAAGGUUCCUCACUCUGGGGCCCUAACCACAGGUUGCUUCGGCACUCAAAUGUCCCGCGGUUAUUUUUAUUAUACAUUUUCAAUAGUUUUAGAAUUUAAAUAAACUAUCGUGAGUUAUUCAUAUUAAUUGAUUAUGAAACACGACUAAAACUCACGUGAUAUUCAUUCACGGAUGUCCGACUUUGACGUUGUAUCAUAUGAGUUUUAGCUGUAUUUCAUAAUCAAUUAAUAUUUUUAUAGUGUUUUGUAUUUUAUAUAUUUAACAUUAUUGAAAUUAAAAAGGGCAAAUGAAUAGUAGUAUUUAAGUUCCUAAUUUUAUAAUAUUGUAUGUACCUAAAUUACAUUUAUAUAGUGUUGAGUAAGUAGUUCAUUUUUAAAUUAUCUAGUACACGUUUAAGCAUAAUUUGUAGUUUUUAUGCAUAGUUGUAGUUGUUGUAUAGUAUAUUUUUAAUUUACUUACUUGCAUUGUAAAAAUGAAUAUCUAAUUUUAAUAUAAAAAUACAUAGUUAUAAAC
rnacentral:misc_RNA from 1 species